UUUUUUGUUACUGCGAGCGUUGGAUGUUUUGAACGCGAUUUAUUUUGAUGACGCUUAACGUCUUCUCAUUACAAUGCCGACAUAUCUAUUAUUCACAUUUUCUUUUAACAGAUGAAGACUUUUCCAUCGUUUGCCAUUCUCUGCUUCCUAGUAUGUUUGUCACAGAGCAAAGGGGAGACAACUACCACAUCGAUAGCUCCAGUAACAAGCACAGAAAUGACCACCAACGCAACCAUUGUGACGUCAACAGAGGCAGACGCCACCACAGAUGACGCGAUGUCUAGCUCUACGACCACGGAGUUGUCAAGUGCCACAGAAGCAGAAACCACAUCAGACAAUACGGCAACAGAAGAAGCGACAACAUCUUCCCAGGUUGCAGACACCUCCACAGCAACAGUUACCCAAGAAGCAUCUUCCACAACAACUUCCCAAGUUGCUGACACUAGCACAACAACAGUUGCACGAGAAGCAUCUUCUACAACAACUUCUCAGAUUGCUGACGCCACAACAACGAUUGGGCCAGACUCAACCACAACUACAACAACAAAAGCCGUAGAACCAACUACAACAACCAUUAAAGUUGUCGAAACAACAACGACAACCUCAACAUCAGCUGCCCCAACAACAACAGUGACAACAACAACAACUACUAUACCUACUACUACAACUGAAGAUAAAUGUGCCAGUGUUGUCUGUCAAAACAACGGAAACUGUGUGCAGUCACCUGGGUCACCAACUGGUUACACGUGCCAGUGUAACCAGAAUUACACGGGAGACACCUGUCAGUUUGCUGUUGCUUCAUACACUCAGUGGGGCGAGUGGGGAUACUGUGAUCAAAACUGUAAAGGCGGUGUAAAAACUAGAAAUAGGACAUGCUCUGACGCCACAGGAGCAAAUCGAGGCCAGGACUGUGGACCCGACUUGCAGGAGACCAUAGAAUGCGAGAAUCUUCCAGCAUGUGUGGUAACGACAGAUCCAUGUGCCAGCGUCAUCAAUCCGUGCCUGACGGACGGAGUGAAUCACACGUGCCUGGUCAAAAGUGAUGGCUCCUUCCGGUGUCUGUGUCUGUCUGGCUACGUCAACGAUGCCAACAACAAAUACUGUAUCAACGAGAAUGAGUGCACAAGAACCAACAACGACUGUAACGAUGUCAACACAAGUGGACUUAAAGUGGGCGUGGCCAGUUGUAAAGACACGGUGGGAAACUACUCGUGUGUCUGUAGCAGUGGGUUUACGUAUGACAGCAGCGCAAGAACCUGCACAGAUGUUAACGAGUGCAGUAGUACAUCAACGAACAACUGUGACGUCACAGACCGUGCCACCUGUACCAACACACCUGGAAGUUUUACCUGUGCCUGUAAACCCAAAUUUCAGGGAGCGGGGACCGCUGGUACCUGCAAAGAGAUUCGGUUACUGCCUCAUACUGGUCAUACAAAGCUAGCCAAUAGCGAUGGCUUCUCCACCUACUUCUUCCCGAAAUAUGCUGUACCAUUCGGAAGUCAUCUGUACCCAUCGUUUUACUUCACGAGGAGUGGUCUACUACUAUUUACCACAGUCACUAGUGAAAAAGUUGGUAUCGGACAGCGGAAGUCCUUCACGAACCCCGCCAAAUUCACCAUUGAUGCCACAUUCCAAGAAAAAGCAGCUUUCGCCCCCUGGUGGUCGAACAUGAUGAUAAGCUCAGGGGCCAGUGCAGACAAUGGAGUAUAUUACAAAGAAUACUCAGCGGAUGUGACGUCAGAAAACACCUUCAUGGUGGACAAGGCCGCAGAGAUUGCUGGGUCUCUCAGCGUUUCCGGAUUUUCCCCAAAAUACAUGAUAGUGAUCACGUGGUACAAAAUGGAACAGAAUAAAAGCCCCGCUACUCCUUCCCAGACUGUCACCUUCCAGUUAAUCCUGGUCACAGACUUUCUGCACACUCUCGUCAAGGUGGCAUACGAGGACAGGGAGAUGAAGUGGGACGUCCUGAACUCCGUGGGUAACUACCCGGUCAGGAUUGGGCUUCUGAAACAGGGGGCAACAAGUGAGGAGUACUCCUACUCAUACCUUGACCUUCUAAGCAAUGCGGCCAACAAAUCGAAAAUCGAGAGAAUCGAUGAAGUGACUUUUACUAACCCUACAAGUAUCGGUCGUUCCUUCUACCGUCUCUCGGAGACUUCUCCAAUCUCACAUCCUGGUAUCCAAUGCUCAAACUGGAUAACAUCUGACGACGCUGAUACCAGCAAUCCUGUGGUGACAUCAGAAGUGACGCAAUGUCCUCCCAGCCUGUUGCAGAAGACGGACUCGCUCGUACAGUAUACACAGGCGGAAAUUCCCUCUAGCGUAGAAUGUUAUGGUAAGAGGAGCGCCCUAUCUAAAACAUUUACUGAUCCACGCACGAUGCGGUGCUGCUACGACAAGGCAAACAAAGGGUUGAUUCUGGAUCAUGUGUUGGCCAAUGGCUUCAACACGUACAUGCGACACUCUGGACAAGACCAAGAGAAGGUUCACGAGGCCUACGAAUGGUGCUGUAACGCUAGCAACCGGUACGCCUCAAGAGCUGACGUGUGCCAGAAUUUCCUCAGUCGCCGACCAGUGUGUACAUCCGACGAUUUUAUCGCGAGUGGAGCAGGUGGAGCUCUCGGAGACCCACAUCUUACGACCCUAGACGGUUUGUCCUUCACCUUUAACGGGCACGGAGAGUUCAUUCUUCUGAAAGCAUCGGACGUGCAAGUUCAAGGUCGAUUUACGCCAUUUAUGAAGGAUGGAAACAAACAUGCCACCUAUAUCAGUUCAAUCGUCGGAAAGCAGACCGGUUCCGACAAAGUGGAGAUCCGACUAAAUACCGCAAAAAAUGGCGCAGAGGUCUUAAAGAACGGAGUAUCGCAGUCUUCCCUGGAUCUGACGAAUGAUCAGGACUGGACCAAGGUGUCCGUCAGUAAGAGUACGGACGCCUCGUCCGUCGACACCUGGAAGAUGAUCUUCAGUAAUGGGCUGACGGCAGGUGUUCAACUCAAGAACGAAAUGUUCCAGCUGGUCAUUGAAUCGGCCGCGCUAUACAAGAGCAACUUCCAAGGAUUAUUGGGCAACUUUAAUGAUAACCCUGCCGAUGACUUUACAGCUCCCAACGGAAGUGUGACGCCCUCUACCUCCAACGAGGAGGCCAUCUACAACUAUGGAAAAGUUUGGCAGAAUUCAGAGGCUACAUCGUUAUUUACUUAUGAUGGAAAGACGACGGGUGAUAACGAUAAUUGGGGAAGCCAUGUUGAUGCAGAUUAUCAGCCUGUAUUUUUCAAUCCUAAUUUAACUGCGAUGUUCACCGACGACUCUAAAAGAACCACGGCAAUCAGUACAUGUAACAACGGGGCAACCACGGACGAUAACCCCACACUGCGGCGGGAGUGCUACUUUGACUUCAAGGUGACAGACAACGCGGAUUUAGCGUCGGCGACCUCAGAUACCAAGGCCGCUCUAGAUGAAACCAAGUCAACGCUUGCGAACUACCCACCGGAAAUCGCCAAUGGGAAUGUGACUAUAGAGGUGUCGGUUGGGGCGACAUACACACUACAUCUAACGGCUACCGACAAAAACGCCGGGGACAUCAUCUUCUUCCUGAUAAACGAUGACGCCCCUUCCGGUCUCGUUGUCACCAACGACACUCGCAAUUUAACAUGGACAAACAUCGCUGACCUUGAGACGGCCAAGAUCCAGGUCACUGUGUCAGACGGGAAGGCGCAGUCUCUAUGGACGCCCAAGAUUGAAUAUUGUAAAUGCCAGAACGGCGGGGGCUGUGACUUCAGUGUGAGUAGCAGUGACCAGUUCCUGCUGGUCCCCUGCGUCUGUGUGACCGGAUAUACUGGGCCAUUUUGUGAGAGGGACGAGGAUGGGUGCGCCGACAACCCGUGCUGGCCCGGGGUGGACUGCACGGACGUCCUGGCACGUGAUCUCAGCACCACCCCCGCGGGCUUCAAGUGCGGAUCGUGUCCGACUCAUUUAGAGGGGGAUGGGAUCUCCUGUACAGACAAGGACGAGUGUGUUAAGAACUCUCCCCCUCCAUGUUCUCAUAACUGCACCAACAUAGAAUUCGGAUUUACUUGUUCUUGUGCCGAGGGAUACGUGCUGGGGGCGGACGGCAAAACGUGCACAGAUAAAGACGAGUGUACAACUAACGCAGACAAGUGUAAUGACGUCACGACCACCUGUCUGAACAGCGUGGGGGGAUACUCUUGUCCCUGCAAGACCGGCUACCAACGGGAGACCACUUACACCUGUACAGAUGUUGACGAAUGUACCAACUCCUCUAAUCCAUGCCCAGCCAAUUCUCGCUGCCAAAACUCGGUCGGAAGUUAUGAUUGUGUUUGUAACUAUGGUUACAGCAAAAAUACGCAAUCAAACACGUGUGAGGAAAUAAAUGAGUGCGCUGGUACCAACAACUGUGCCCAGAGAUGCGUGGACGGGAUCGGAACGUAUACAUGUGCUUGCAAUACUGGAUACAAAUUGAACACAACAGACCUUGUCAGCUGCCUACCGGAAAAUGAAUGCUCAACCGAGGAGAAGAAUACUUGCGAUGGCGGAAGUGAAACUGCGUCAUGCGCAGUGUCUAAUGGUCAGGUGUAUUGUGGUUGUCCGUCUGGUUACGCCUUAAACGCCUCAAAAUACUGUAUAGACAUUGAUGAGUGUGCUACUAACGUGGACACUUGUGUAGACUCUAGCAGCACGUGUGUUAACACUCCUGGGGCGUUCCGAUGUGACUGUAAGACCGGAUUUAACAAACUCAGCGAUUUUAUCUGUGCAGACAAAGAUGAAUGCACAUUAAAUACAGACACCUGUGUGGCACCUGCCACGUGUCAGAAUAAUGAUGGCAGCUUCACAUGUUCUUGUCCCGUGGGGUACACUAAAGGGAGUGAUGGCAACAGCUGCACAGAUAUCGACGAGUGUGCGUCCGCGGCCACCCACAGCUGUGACAAAGAGCACGGACGUUGUACAAACACCGCCGGAUCUUACACGUGCAGUUGUAACAGUGGAUUUACUGGCGAUGGCUAUACAUGUGCAGAUAAGAAUGAGUGUGCAUCUGGAAGCACCAAUCAGUGUGAACAGACGUGCAUCAACAAUAUCGGUAGCUACACGUGCUCUUGCUUCAGGGGCUACACACUGAACGCUGACGGGAGACGAUGUAACGAUAUUAACGAAUGCUCAGAAUCGGCUGCAAAUGGUUGCUAUGACAACAAUCACUGCGAAAAUACAAUUGGCGGAUACACUUGUUCCUGUCCAACAAAUUUCAAAUUAAAGGGGGACGGUAAAACAUGUGAAUCCAAAUUUCAGUGUGCCAGCAACCAUGGCUGCAGUCACACCUGUGGUAAGAUAGGCGAAGUGGAUACUUGUUCUUGUCCUGCAGGGUAUGAACUUGAUGGAACUAAAAAAAAUUGUGUGGACAUUGAUGAAUGCAGCAGUGACGCACUACACCGCUGUCUGGCUGCUAACAAUGUGUCGUGUAGUAAUACAGUGGGGUCCUAUGUCUGUAACUGUGUCAGCAGCCAGUACGUUAAAUCCCAGGACAUCGUCUGUGUGGAUGCAGACGAGUGUACGCUGGGGACCGCUAACUGUCCCUCUAACUCCCUGUGUGUCAAUCGGGACCAGGGCUUUGACUGUAACUGUGUCAGUGGGUACACUAAGGUCGGCGAUAUAUGUCAAGAUGAUAAUGAGUGUGGUGGUUCCAACGAUUGCAAUUCCGCGCUAGCAACGUGUACUAACACCCCCGGGGCUUACAAAUGUGCAUGUAAAGCCGGUUAUACGGGGGACGGUAGAACCUGCCUAGAUGUUGACGAGUGCUCAGAGAACACACAUAACUGUGAUAGUCGACAGGAGAGGCGGAACUGUACGAACACCGAGGGCUCCUUCACCUGUGGGUGUCUGGAGGGCUACACCCUGGCCUCGGACGAUCGAACCUGUAACGAUGUUGAUGAAUGUUCAACAUCCAGCCAUGAAUGUGAACAUACUUGCGUAAAUAAAAAUGGCGGGUACGAUUGUUCCUGUCAACUUGGAUACAGACUGGAAGCCGAUCAAAGAACCUGCACAGUGGAGGCAAAUUGUGAUGACACUAAAACUGCGACAUGCCAAACAAAAAAGUGCGCCAAAUUGAACGGCACAGACACGUGUUACUGUGAUCCGGGCUACAAACUGUCGUCUGAUGGAGUGUCCUGUUCAGAUAUUAACGAGUGUACCGGUUCCCCCUGUCACACCACCCACAGCGCCUGCCAGAACACUGUGGGAUCCUACACGUGCUCCUGUACCGACGGUUACAUUCUGGGGCCCAACAACGUGUGUGUGGAUCGUGACGGCGGCUUGUCCGAUUGGUCGGCAUGGGGCACCUGCUCGCAGACCUGUGGGUCAGGGACACAGACAAGGACCCGCGCCUGUAACAACCCCACGCGGGAGGGGUCGGGGAGGGAUUGUACAGGGUCACUGUCAGAGUCUCAGGCCUGUAACACCAACCUCUGUCCUCCAACGGAAGACGAACAGACUUAUGGAGUAAUUAUUCAAUACAAAGGAGUAACAGCAGAUCAUUUUACGGUAGAGGUCAAAGCAAAGUUCACUUCAAAGAUAGCAACAGAGAUAAACAAAUACUGCAAUACAGACAACACAAAUCUUAGGCAGUGCUGUAACAGCCAGUCCACAUAUGCACCAAGUAUUUCUAGCAUAAAGUCCUUCACAAAAGCAGAACAAAUCGCCAUAGGAGACGGUUAUCCGAGGGAUGUAAAUGGAGGCACCCAAAUAUUGGUUGUAGUGAAGGCUGAUAACAAUAACGCCCUCUGCUCAGCCACAUCUAGCCGGAGGAGGCGGAGCAUAACUCUGAGUAAUCUAGAGAUAGCAAUUCCCCAGUCUGUCCUGCAGCAGAUAAUGGCGAACGCAACAAUACAAGACGAAAUCAUUGUUCAAUUAGCGGCUGCCAUAAAAGAACACACAAAUGCGACUCUAAGUAUUACAGCAGGGGAGAUAAUGCUGGUCACUGCACCAACAUCGACUCCCACAGAGUCCAAUACAUCACAGGCGUGGGUGGUGCCCGUUGCGGUAGUCGGGGCGAUCCUCGGGGUCAUCCUUGUCAUCGUCAUCGUACUACUCAUCGUCAAAAUGAAUAAAAAAAACAAAAUCAACCCGGAUGAUAGACACGCUAACCCACUAAACGACCCCAGCCACCCUGCUAACAACCCUCCCCAGCCACAACCAGUGAACCAGGGGUCAAAUUCACCCCAGGGCGACCGGGCCCCGCUCACAUAACCAGGUGAUCUCCGGGCACCGCCUUGUCGUAUAAGUUUAUGCUCAAGAGUGUGUGAUAAUGAAAUUGAGAGAAGGAAUGAUAAAACAGUGAGAUUAUUUUAUUUGUUCUAAAAACAGUCAGAGCAGACUCAUUUCCACGGAAAAAGUGGGAGGGGGUAUUGAAUUGAGAUGUGUUUAGACUUUUUCGUCAUGAGAUUUUAAAAAUUUUUUUAUAGAUGUAUACCUGUGUCUAUUCCAAUUUUAGAAAAUAAGAUUAAAUGCUUGAUUGUCUGUUUCUCAGAUCUGUGGCGUAAAGAAAGCAGUGAAACUAUGCAUUUUUGAUUGACGUCAUUAGAUUAAGACAUAUAUCAAAUUUAUCAUAAUUUGAUCCAAGAAAAAUUAAUCAAAACUGAAUUUAAAUGUACUUACUCAAAACAAUUGAUUUUGUAGGGGUUUUUUAUGUUUGCAAAUCAAAUUAAUGCUAUGCAUGACUUUUAUGAAUUAAAAAGGCAAAUCAAAAUUAAUGAUUUAAAUAAACGUCAACAACUAGAGAAACGUUAUAUUUUUUUUUACAAAGGAUGCUCCAGAAUGAUGUCAUUUGAUGAAUUUAAUGUAACUAAGUUUUUGUGUCGGCAUAAUAUACUUGUAUAAUAAAUUGCCUUUCUGUAGUCAUAAAAAUGAAGAACUGUGAUUUUUUUUAUUGUUUAAUGUGAUAUUAAGAUGUUUGAUGCAGGGCUGCUUUCCUUUUCAUUGUUACUUUGAAGUACACAAUUUCAAAAGUAUUAUCGAUGUUAAUUUUCUUUAAAAAAAAAAUCAUGAUUAUUCAACGCCAAUUUUCGAUACAGAACGCAUUACAUGUAAAAAAAAAAAAAUAUUAAAAAUAUUGCAAACAAUUGAAACAAAGGACAAUUUACAGGGAAGCGGCCCAUGUAGACUCAUCCUCAACUGUACAUGUAUAUCAUGAAAUGUAGAUAUUCAUAUUUGUAUUGCUGUACAUAUCAAACAAAGCUCCGUCCAUUCUCCUGGUGUUUUACUCUACACUUCCUGUCCGAGUGACGUUUGUAUUGAUGGUUAAUUUCGUCCAAUGUACUAGUAAUUCACGUCCUUCUACGCGUGCAAACAGUUUUGGCCAGUCUUGAAUUCCCCAACACACAGUUGAGUUGAAGGAGAUAGUAUUUGAAACAUUGAGAUUAGCGCAGUCUGAAAUUCGCCCGCUAACAGCAUGGGCGAAAGGGGCGAAAAUAAAACGAGGGCGAAUAUUUCUCUGUACACAGUAUUUAGCAUUCGGUUUCUUUUAUAUUUAUACUCUAUAGUCCCAGUCAUUGAUGUUUUAGCAUUCUGUUGAUAUCUUAUACGUAAGCUUUACUAUUAUGGGGUUUUUUGUUAACCGAUCACCUUUUAUA
rnacentral:sRNA from 1 species